rnacentral:rRNA from 1 species
UACAGAGGGGGGCAAGCGUUGUUCGGAAUUACUGGGCGUAAAGAGCUCGUAGGUGGUUUGUCGCGUUGUUCGUGAAAACUCACAGCUCAACUGUGGGCGUGCGGGCGAUACGGGCAGACUUGAGUACUGCAGGGGAGACUGGAAUUCCUGGUGUAGCGGUGGAAUGCGCAGAUAUCAGGAGGAACACCGGUGGCGAAGGCGGGUCUCUGGGCAGUAACUGACGCUGAGGAGCGAAAGCGUGGGGAGCGAACAGG